GGAUCAACGCUGGCGGCGUGCCUAAUACAUGCAAGUCGAGCGAACAGACGAGGAGCUUGCUCCUUCGACGUUAGCGGCGGACGGGUGAGUAACACGUAGGUAACCUACCUAUAAGACUGGGAUAACUUCGGGAAACCGGAGCUAAUACCGGAUAAUAUUUCGAACCGCAUGGUUCGAUAGUGAAAGAUGGCUUUGCUAUCACUUAUAGAUGGACCUGCGCCGUAUUAGCUAGUUGGUAAGGUAACGGCUUACCAAGGCAACGAUACGUAGCCGACCUGAGAGGGUGAUCGGCCACACUGGAACUGAGACACGGUCCAGACUCCUACGGGAGGCAGCAGUAGGGAAUCUUCCGCAAUGGGCGAAAGCCUGACGGAGCAACGCCGCGUGAGUGAUGAAGGUCUUCGGAUCGUAAAACUCUGUUAUUAGGGAAGAACAAACGUGUAAGUAACUGUGCACGUCUUGACGGUACCUAAUCAGAAAGCCACGGCUAACUACGUG
rnacentral:rRNA from 1 species